rnacentral:rRNA from 1 species
AUUGAACGCUGGCGGCAUGAUUUACACAUGCAAGUCGAACGGUAACAGGCCGCAAGGUGCUGACGAGUGGCGAACGGGUGAGUAAUGCAUCGGAACGUGCCCAGUCGUGGGGGAUAACUACUCGAAAGAGUAGCUAAUACCGCAUACGAUCUAUGGAUGAAAGCGGGGGACCGUAAGGCCUCGCGCGAUUGGAGCGGCCGAUGUCAGAUUAGGUAGUUGGUGGGGUAAAGGCUCACCAAGCCAACGAUCUGUAGCUGGUCUGAGAGGACGACCAGCCACACUGGGACCGAGACACGGCCCAGACUCCUACGGGAGGCAGCAGUGGGGAAUUUUGGACAAUGGGCGCAAGCCUGAUCCAGCAAUGCCGCGUGCAGGAAGAAGGCCUUCGGGUUGUAAACUGCUUUUGUACGGAACGAAACGGCUCUGGUUAAUACCCGGGGCUAAUGACGGUACCGUAAGAAUAAGCACCGGCUAACUACGUG